GAUGAACGCUGGCGGCGUGCCUAAUACAUGCAAGUCGAGCGAACAGACGAGGAGCUUGCUCCUCUGACGUUAGCGGCGGACGGGUGAGUAACACGUGUAUAACCUACCUAUAAGACUGGUAUAACUUCGGGAAACCGGAUCUAAUACCGUAUAAUAUAUUGAACCGCAUGGUUCAUUAGUGAAAGACGGUUUUGCUGUCACUUAUAGAUGGAUCCGCGCCGCAUUAGCUAGUUGGUAGGGUAACGGCUUACCAAGGCAACGAUGCGUAGCCGACCUGAGAGGGGGAUCGGCCACACUGGAACUGAGACACGGUCCAGACUCCUACGGGAGGCAGCAGUAGGGAAUCUUCCGCAAUGGGCGAAAGCCUGACGGAGAAACGCCGCGUGAGUGAUGAAGGUCUUCGGAUCGUAAAACUCUGUUAUUAGGGAAGAACAAAUGUGUAAGUAACUAUGCACGUCUUGACGGUACCUAAUCAGAAAGCCACGGCUAACUACGUG
rnacentral:rRNA from 1 species